rnacentral:lncRNA from 1 species
UGAUAGAAAAUGAAACCAUGCUUCCAUGGAAAGUGAUAUGUAACAAACAGUGGUGAUGAUGACAUCGAUGACAUCGAUGAUGCUGAUGAUGAUAACCAUGAUGAUGACAAUACAAUAACUUUGAUUAUGAUCGUGAUGAUGAUGAUGAUAAUAAUAAGGUGAUAACUAUGAGGAGUAUGAUCAUGUUGUUGAUGAUAAUGACAAUAGUAGUUAUGAUGAAGAUAAUGAUGAGGAUGAUGAAGAUGCUAAAGGGGGAUGAGGAUGAAGUUGAUGAUACAUAUAUUUUACUAUAUAUACAUUUUCUGUAGAAUAUGCACUAGCAUAUAAAAAACAUAUAUGUAUACAUAUAUAUAUAUUUAUAUAUAUGUAUACAUAUAAGCAUAUAUAUAUAUAUAUAUAUAUAUAUAUAUAUAUAUAUAUAACUACACACACAAACACAUAGAAAUACUCCCAUGUAUAUACAUAUGCACAUACUUUAUAUAUAUAUAUAUAUAUUAUUCAUGUACAUAGGUAUAUAUUUACAUAUGUAUAUACAUGGAUAUGUUUGUACAUAUAUGUACGUAUAUAAAAGCAUGUGCAUAUGAAUGAAUGUGUUGCACAUAUAUGGAUAUAUAUAGAAAUACUUAUAUAUCUAUAUAUGUAUAUGUGCAUGUGUGUAUAUGUGUGAAUGAGUGUUUAUGCUUUUGUGAAUGAGUGUAAAUGAAUGUGUAUUUGUAUGUGUAAGCGUGUAUGUGUGUUUGAAUGCAUAUGAGUGAGUAUGUUUGGGUGAGUAUACAUAGGUUUAUACUCCCCUUACACAGUUACAAUACAAUGAAAUCGAUGUAGAGUGAAAUGCCUUGCAACCCUAGUUUCCAAUAUAUUUGAAGCCAGACUGAAACAAGGCACAAUUUCCUAGUUAUUUAGAGCCCCAAUUCGAAAGGAAAACUAGCUUAUAUGCUCUACAAGCUUUAUUUUUUAUUUAAAAUAGGGUCAAAUCGUAGAGCUGACAUUUGACCUUUAAAUAUCUUACCUUUAUGCAUAGAAACAUAUACAUAUACGCACAUAUUUUUAGUCACAUAUCAAUACAUGUGUGCAUUAAUAUGUGGCUUGUGUGUGAAUCAUAUAUAUAUACAUAUAUAUAU